GCCUGGCUGGCUCAGUUGGAAGAGCAUGUGACUCUUGACCUCAGGAUCAUGAGUUCAAGACCCAUGCUGGGUG
rnacentral:tRNA from 1 species